rnacentral:lncRNA from 1 species
GACCUAUUUAACCGACGCACAAUCAGCUCAUUUCCCUCUCUGAUCGUCACCUCAUGCACGUCACGGCUGCUUUGCACGGAAUUCCGAAAGAAAUCUAAAGGAUCAAAUCAGAACGGGUCUGCAUCUCCGGCCAGUAGCGACAUGGCGAAAGCUCCAGGUGAAUGUUGAUGGAUUAAAUUCCCAUACUAUCUGGAUGUGUACAGGGCUUUAAAAGGACCUGUUUGGUAAAGGUAUGAACUUCCCUUGUAAUAGAUGAUUUUAACUCUGUUUGCCUGAUUGUUUAAUAACUAUUUUUUUCCUUUAGGACCGUGAGUAAGUCCCACCAACCUUUUAACCUUUUUUUUUUUUUUUUUUAAUAUACGUUUGACCCUGGGACUGUAUUGUUGCUUGUAAUCAUUACUUUUACCUAUCACUGCAAACGUGUUAAGUUGCUGUGGUUUUGUUGGUUUGCUGUGGCCUGGUUUUAAAGUGAUAGUG